GCCUGUUCGCCACACUCUCUUCGCAUGAACCACACGCGCUCAUCACCAUUUUCAGGGUAUUUCAGCACACAGGCAAGAAAAAUAAACCACAAAACUCAGAGAAAACUCAGAGAGCAAGGCAAAGCCACUUGUACACACCGCCACACUGCUUGUCCUUUCCUAUCUCCUGUUGUGGCGUCUAUACUUGAUCUUGAUCUUGAUGAUACAGGUGGCACAGGAUCACUCCUGAGUCAGGGGUAGUGUGGGGUAAGUGUGGGGAAUGAUAAAGUAUGUGUGCUCCUUUAUGCAGAUGAUGUAGUUGUUAUGAGUGAAUCGGCAGAUGAGCUUCAAAGUUUGUUGGAUGUAGUGGAUGGCUAUGGUAGAGACUUUGGAGUAAGGUUUAGCAGUGAGAAAAGCAAAGUAAUGAUUGUGAAUAGGUCAGAGGAUGAAAGUAAUGUGGUAUGGAGACUUGGAGAGAAUGAGUUGAGACAGGUGCAAGAAUACAAGUACUUAGGGAUGUGGAUGAGUCCUAGUGGGUGUGCAAAGGCAAAGAAUGAAAAGAUAAGUAUGCUAAACCAGUGGGUAGGUCGAUUGGGAAGCGCGGCAAGGAUGAGAGCAAGUAAGUAUGAUGUGUUGAGAGAAGUGUGGAAGAGUGUGGCUGUGCCAUGUAUAAUGUAUGGUAUGGAUGUGAUUGCAUGGAAUGAAAGUGAAAUUGAUAAGUUAGAAGUGGGCCAGAAUAGAGUAGCAAGGAUGGCACUGAGUGCACCGAGGUGCACAGCAGUUGAAGCCUUGAGAGGUGACAUGGGAUGGAGCACCUUCAGAGAAAGACUGACAAAAGCCACACUUAGGUACAAGAUUAGGCUUGAGAGAAUGGAUGAUGCAAGAAUAGCAAGGAAGGUGUACCUGUGGAAUGAAAGUGGAAGCAAAUGGAGGAAGAGAUGCAUGAGAAUGACAGACAGGAAUGGAUUGCAAGUUGUGUGGGCGAUAAGAAUGGCUGGUAGGAAUCAAAAUGAGCGUGAAUGGGUGGUAACAAGAGGAGGCAGAGUGGGAGCCGAAUGGGAUGUGAGAAAAUGGAAGAAUGAGAUAGACAAAGAAGUGAAAUGUGUGGGAUUGAAUGAAUGGAAGAAUGAGAUGGAAAGAAAGAAGACCUUGGAAUGGUACAAGGAGAAAGAGGCCCCGAGGUAUGAAAGGUGGUAUGAUGGAAGCCUGGGCGGUGAUCUUCUCUUCCGAGCGAGGGCACAGUGUAUGGAUGUGAAUGCAAGGAGUUACAGGUGGUCUGAGUCCCGCAGCAAAGUGUGCCAGAUGUGUGACAUGGGAGAGGAUGAGACGGUGGAACAUGUGGUGCUGGAGUGUGUGAAGUAUGCCAGAGACAGGAAUGAGAUGAUGCAAGUGAUACUGACUGAGUUAGGGCAUGAUAGGAAUGAAAGAGUGGAGAAGACGGGAAAAGAGUGGAUGGUGUUGUUGCUGGGACUGUGUAGAGAGGCGAAUGAAAGGAUGAUUGAGGCGGUGAAAGAGUUUCGGGAGAGAAUGUGGCGUGCCAGGUGUAUGAACAAUUAGGAUAGAGGAUGCUGUUCGUUUCUGUUUUUUUUUUUUUUUUCUCUCUCUCUCCUUCUACAGGAGUUGCCGACCCAAAGGCCUGGCUCAGGAGUGAUCCUGUGCCACCUGUACCAUCAAGAUCAAGAUCAAGUUCCCCCGUGUUUACUUCUACCACUGCCUAGAAAUCUUGUUUUUUCGCAAAUUUCCCAAGUAAUUCCCCACCCCGGAGGCCGCCCCCAGUACACCUGUUCCCUGCAUCCAUGGCAUUGUGUGUGGACUGGCAAUCUACAACUUCACCAUCAUCAACCUGCCCUGUACAUCAACCUGUACAAGAAGUUACUGUGAGAGACUGUAGGCUUGGAUGACCUCGCCGACCUUGACCCGCAGCUGACCAGGUCACUGCGAGAUCUGCUGGAGUACGAGGGAGGUGACGAGGAGGAAGUUUAUGGCCUCGACUUCACUUUGACCCAGGAUUACUUUGGGGAGUGCAAGAGUGUCCCCCUGAAGGCUGGAGGGGAGGAGAUGUCAGUCACACAGCAGAAUAAUGUUGCCACGGUGACGGUGGUGGUGGGCAUGAUACAGAUGCGGGAGCUGGAGUUUGUGCCCGAUGAAGACAUGCAGCUGGACAAAUUCUGUUGCUCAUUGCUCAGACUGGAGUUUACAUGUAUACCUCCUUCACCAUCAUUGGUGGACACUCCACCAUGAGUGUGAAAGGUAUAUACAGGGUUGGGCCAAGGAGUGGAGUGGUGGAGGAAGCUGCAGGAAACUGGACACCAACAAAAGGAUUCUCGCUGGUUAACUCUACAAACAGACUUGAGCGCCGCAGUGACUUCCAGGGCUACCAUAUGAAGGGUGUGGGUGUCAAGGUGUUUGAGUUCAUGUCAACCUACUUGGGUGGAGGAAAUAUCACUGGUUUUGUGGGGGAUAUUGUCACUGCACUAAGGGAUGCACACAAUUUCUCGCUUAUUUCAUCAUCACAGCAGCUUGAAAUUUUGAAAAUACAUGCUAUUUGAGGAGGUAGCUGUACAUGUGAAAAAAAAGAAGGGAAACAAACAUCCAUACUUGUGACUGAUAUGAAAAAUAAACUAUACAUAUAAAUGUAUAUUUCACUUUUCUUUCUAGCAAUUAAAAAAUGUACAUAUGACAG